ACUUCAUCAACAGAUAAUGGAAGGCCACUGAAGGCUUUCUGAACAGGAGUAGAAUCUUUUUAUAUUUUAAAACUAGUAGACUACAGUAAGUGAGGAAGAUGGAGGGAUGAAAGACGACAACUUUUGUUCAUUUGUUUGUUUGUUUUGCCUGGGUGACUAUCUGCAUGAUGGUAUCUGCUAGAGAUAGGGAAGUCAGAAGAAAGGGCCAAAUCACUGGAGAAAGAAAAUGCUUUACUUGGACAGUCUGGAUGGGAAGUUCCAGUGAGUCAUCCUGGUGGCAAUGACUGGCAGAUUGUUGGAAAUGGAGGAGCUAAAGCGAGAGAGGCUAAGAAUAGAGAUAUGGAUUUGGGAGUUAGUGGCAAAUAGAGUUAAACUAUGGGAAUGUAUAUGAUGGCCUGAGAAGAAAUUAUAGGAGAAGUAAGAAGGACUAAGGGCUGAGCCUGGGAGACAGGACAUGGAGGGGAAAGGCAGCUGAGAGGAGCCUUGAAGAAGACUGAAGAGGAAUAAUUGCUACUGAGGAGAAGCAAGGCAGUUCAGUGUGAUGGAUGCCAAAAGAUGGAGAAGUCAAGGAGGUGGCCACCUGCUGGAGAGUGCAUGUCUCCACUGCCUUCCUCAACCUCUGCAUGUGGAGUCUGCACUUGACAAGAUCAAUGGCCCAACACCACGUGGAAGCUGCCAAGGCUUGGGGUUUGCACCAUCUGAAGCCAUGGCCUGAACUCUAUGUUAGCCCCUUUCCACCAUAGCUGGAGCUGCUUGGACACAGAGCACCAAGUCCCUAGGCUGCACACAGGUGAAUGAGAGGCAGUGGAAGAAGAAUGGAGAUGAAGAGAACUGGGGAAGCCAGGGAGCAGCAUCUUAAGAGCGUCUCUUCUGUGGCCCCAGCCCACACUGGGCCAUCUUUGCCUUGGUUCCAGCUCCCCUUGUGUGGCAUUGCCCAGGGCUAAAGAAACACCACCCUUCCCUCUAUCUCCAGCUCUAGAGUUAGGAGCAGCUUCCUGGAGUUGCUAGUCUUGGAGUUGCUUCACCCUCCUAUUUGCUCUUUCAGAUCUUCUACAACCGGUGAUAUUGACUCCUCUAUAAGUUGCCUCUUUUGAACCUUGUGGCAUGGAUGCUGUUUUUUACUGAUUGGAUCUUAUCUCUUCAACAGUGGCCUGACACAAUAGCUAAGUGGGAUCAAACUUGAAGCCAGCCAUGCAGUGAAAGUGGGAAUUAGAACUGUUGCCCUGACUAGUAGUCAGUAUGCUUCUACCAUUCCACACCACCUUCUGAAAGAUAGGCACGUAUGUAGGUUAUGAAUGGGAGGGUUACUAUUACUCCAGGGUUCCUGUUAAACAUAUAUCAUGUUGUAGAGCAUAGACUCUUCUUCCCAAACAAUGCAUGGCCAAAGUGCUUCCUGGGUGUUGGUGAGGAACUGAGAGGAGGGAGCAAAAAAGAGAUGUGGCUCAGUUUGGGAUCUCCCAAUCAGACAAGGGCCCUGAAAUCAAGAGAAAGACAACAGAGAUGCAGUGUUCCUUGUUCUGAAGAGGAGAAACAGUAAAAAAUUUGCCAAGGACCCAAGAUAGAAGACUGUGGGCCCAGAUCCUAAUGUAAAAGAAGCCUGCCUCAACUUAAUUUUCCUGGACAGCAAGAGCUAUGAAAAUGAACUGGGUGAAUAUUGGUGUUUUCAGCUUGAGGUUCCAAUGAAUUAGGACAAUCAGAAGGAAGAGUUUAAUUUUGGGGUCUAGCAUGAGACCAUUCAGUUCAAACUUUCAUUUCACAGUUAGGAAACUAGACCCAGAGAGGCACAGUGCUUCGGCUUGAUGCUAAUAGACUGAUUUUGGAAGGCAGUUGAGCUGGAAGACACAGAUCUGGGGGCUGUCAGCCAAGGGCUGAGAAGGAUGUGAAUUAAGAAGGUGGGAAGGGAAUUGAUGGUUAAGGCCUGAGUCUUGAGAGAAACCCAUGGCCAGGAGCAGAGGAGUUAAGAUUCAUUCAGAAAUGCUCCUACAGACGUGGGAGAACAAGGAUUGUUCAGUAUAAUGGAAGCCAAAGGAGAGGGUUUUGAGGAGCAAAAGACUAGCCAACAGUAGCAAUUGUGUCAAGGUGAUCAAGGAAUAAGAUGUAAACAAUUGUUGGAUUUAUAAUAUGAUUUUAAAAGUGCAGUUUCAGUAAAGUGGUAAGAAUGGGAGGACAAUCAAAUGGCACGUGGUGUGUGUGUGUGUGUGUGGAGGUUGUGGUGUGUGUGGGGGGGGAUGUAUGUGUGGAGAGUGUGGCAUGAGAUGCAUGUGCAUAUGUAUGUUUAGGAUGAGGUGUGUGUGGAGAGUGAGAUGUGUGUGUGUAGGAUAUGAGGUGUGU
rnacentral:lncRNA from 1 species